rnacentral:rRNA from 1 species
UACACGGAACGUAUCAAUUGAGUCGGGUAGCUUGAGAAUGCUGCCCUAAUAGGUGAUAAAUCUCAUCUAAGGCUAAAUACUGGUGGGAAACCGAUAGCGAACAAGUACCGUGAGGGAAAGUUUAAAAGCACUUUGGAAAGAGGGUGAAAAGAACCUGAAACCGUUACGGGGGAAGCGAAUUGCGUCGAAUUGAUUUUAUGGGGGGUGCACUGUUCAGCGCGUUUUGCGUGUACUCAGGGCAUUUUUCCUUACCCGUCGUGGGUUUUUGGAUGGUCGAAUUUGGGCCGUCUAGGACUGAGGGAUCCUCUUUGUUUAUAAGGGUGAGGACGAUGGGGCGCUGACGCGAUACGACCCGUCUUGAAACACGGACCAAGGAGUUCAGCAUAUGUGCGAGUCAAAGGGUGGUGAAACCUGAGGGCGCAGUGAAAGCGAUUUAACACGGAUCGUGUAAGAACUAAAACAUAUAAUUUUCAGUUUUAAGGCGGCAUACAAUGGGUGAUUGUAGGACCGACCUCGAGCAGAUAUGCUGAGACCCGAAAGAUGGUGAACUAUGCCGGAGUAGGGCGAAGCCAGAGGAAACUCUGGUGGAGGCUCGUAGCGGUGCUGACGUGCAAAUCGCUCGUCUGACUUGGGUAUAGGGGCGAAAGACUAAUCGAACCAUCUAGUAGCUGGUUUCCUCCGAAGUUUCUCUCAGGAUAGCAGGUCGACGAAAAGUUGUUGUGUGCGGUAAAGCGAAUGAUUAGCGUAUUUGGGGGUGAUUAGCCUCCAGUCGAUUCUCAAACUUUAAAUGCUCACGGAUAUUGCCGCUUGGGUGGGCGGUAUCGAUUUAAAAACGUCGGGCCUUGUGGGCCACUUUUGGUAAGC